GUCGAGUCCUAAGGUGUACCCGGUAUGGCCGGGGAAGCUGAUGGCAAAGCGGUUAAAUAUUCCGCUACCUCGAUGGACGUUAGGCUAAGGCGUGACGCAGAAGUGAAACUCCCGCGUGCUGACGAAUGCACGUUAAAGGGCGUAGGCCGGAAAGUAGGCAAAUCCGCUUUCCGUUAAGGCUGAACCCCGACAGUACCCGGAUUCUCACGAUGAAGGGAUAGUGGAGGUAAUCAUGCUGCCAAGAAAAGCGUCGUAGU
rnacentral:rRNA from 14 species